GAUGGACGCUGGCGGCGUGCCUAAUACAUGCAAGUCGAGCGAACAGACGAGGAGCUUGCUCCUCUGACGUUAGCGGCGGACGGGUGAGUAACACGUGGAUAACCUACCUAUAAGACUGGGAUAACUUCGGGAAACCGGAGCUAAUACCGGAUAAUAUAUUGAACCGCAUGGUUCAAUAGUGAAAGACGGUUUUGCUGUCACUUAAAGAUGGAUCCGCGCCGCAUUAGCUAGUUGGUAAGGUAACGGCUUACCAAGGCAACGAUGCGUAGCCGACCUGAGAGGGUGAUCGGCCACACUGGAACUGAGACACGGUCCAGACUCCUACGGGAGGCAGCAGUAGGGAAUCUUCCGCAAUGGGCGAAAGCCUGACGGAGCAACGCCGCGUGAGUGAUGAAGGUCUUCGGAUCGUAAAACUCUGUUAUUAGGGAAGAACAAAUGUGUAAGUAACUAUGCACGUCUUGACGGUACCUAAUCAGAAAGCCACGGCUAACUACGUG
rnacentral:rRNA from 1 species